rnacentral:lncRNA from 1 species
UGCAUCUAGGGUUCCAAACAACUCCUAUACGUAAAUGCACAAGCAUGAUAAAGAAGGCAUGCGCAAGUUUGGUAAACACAGGGGGAUUCAUGCAUCCGGGGCUUGCCUUCGAACAAGGAGGAGGGAAGCUGUUCUUCUGCUUGGACGGCUUCGGCUUCUGGAGGCGGGAGCUCUGCUGCAGCUUCGUCCUCUGGCGCCGGGCACAAUUCGUAGAAGCCGUCGGCGAGACGCAGCUCUACACGAAUGCAAUGCAUGGGUUAGCAUUUAGACGGUUAUUUCAACAACAACACUUGCAAGUUUGAGCC